rnacentral:rRNA from 1 species
UACGUAGGUCCCAAGCGUUGUCCGGAUUUAUUGGGCGUAAAGCGAGCGCAGGUGGUUUCUUAAGUCUGAUGUAAAAGGCAGUGGCUCAACCAUUGUGUGCAUUGGAAACUGGGAGACUUGAGUGCAGGAGAGGAGAGUGGAAUUCCAUGUGUAGCGGUGAAAUGCGUAGAUAUAUGGAGGAACACCGGAGGCGAAGGCGGCUUUUUGGCCUGUAACUGACACUGAGGCGCGAAAGCGUGGGGAGCAAACAGG